rnacentral:rRNA from 1 species
GACGAACGCUGGCGGCGUGCUUAACACAUGCAAGUCGAACGGAAAGGCCCUGCUUUUGUGGGGUGCUCGAGUGGCGAACGGGUGAGUAACACGUGAGUAACCUGCCCUUGAUUUUGGGAUAACUUCAGGAAACUGGGGCUAAUACCGGAUAGGAGCUCCUGCUGCAUGGUGGGGGUUGGAAAGUUUCGGCGGUUGGGGAUGGACUCGCGGCUUAUCAGCUUGUUGGUGGGGUAGUGGCUUACCAAGGCUUUGACGGGUCGCCGGCCUGAGAGGGUGACCGGCCACAUUGGGACUGAGAUACGGCCCAGACUCCUACGGGAGGCAGCAGUGGGGAAUAUUGCACAAGGGGCGGAAGCCUGAUGCAGCAACGCCGCGUGCGGGAUGACGGCCUUCGGGUUGUAAACCGCUUUCGCCUGUGACGAAGCGUGAGUGACGGUAAUGGGUAAAGAAGCACCGGCUAACUACGUG